CUUUAUCCAACUCUCCUGGAAUUACCCUUCUGUGACUGCGCCUACAUUUCCUGACCUGACUCCAAGAGAGAUGCCGAGAAGAAAUCCAAUCCCGGCUGGGACACCUGGCUUCUCCCAUGAUCCUCCUGCACAGGCCCUGCCUCCAGGCACCCCAUCCCCACCCAACUUUACCCCAAAUCUGAAAAGCCAGUGAGUUGGGGAAGACCGAAAAGUUCUGGAGGCUGAUGGUGAACCAGUGUGAAUGCAACUUAAUGCCACUGAGCUGUGCGCUUAAAUAUGGGGAAAAUGGAAACAUCUCAGUAAUUCCAGAGUGCAGCUCUGAAGAGGAAGGUCAACGUACAACAGGACUCAUCAACCCCUCCCAGGAACCCCUGGCAAACAAAGAUGGCCGGCUCCCACGCCAGCAAGAAAAACCUCCAGAGGGGUCAGGAAUCAUGAGACCACAAACGGAAGAAGCCACAUUUCUUUCUCCCACACCAUCAACAGACCAAGGCAGAUUUGCCGACAAGUUCAAUCUCUUUUGAAGUCUGAGUCAUGAGAUGAAGAUUCCAUUCUAAAGCCCCAAUAAAGCCAAACCAUUGAGACCGCUGAAGCUUGAGCACACCAACCCUCCAGGACCCUGGGGUUGGUUUGACAGUAACUGAGGAUGGAUCAAAGCUGGCCUGUGACUCAAGAAUGAUCCCACCCCGAGGAAGUCACAAGGCGGUGGCAAUCAGCUCUUGAGAAAACAGGACCAGAGAGGUUAGGCCACCUACCUGAGAUCAC
ensembl:lncRNA